rnacentral:rRNA from 1 species
CAAGGCAGCAAACCACCCUGCAUCCCAGUGCUGGCUUACUUCUGAAGAUAAGCAGGGUUGGUCCUGGUCUGUCCCUGGAUGUGAGAUCAGAUGUUGCUGGAAGUUGUGUUGG